rnacentral:lncRNA from 1 species
GUUUUUUCAAGGGAUUGCCUUUACAGUAUACAAUGACUUAGGGUUCAUGUUGCACUCCCUAAAGCCUCCACUAGAUGUCAACAGUCUUUAGAACCUUGUUUGGGGAUUCUAUGUUGAAUUUGAAGGGAAUAACAGCCCAAGGAAGUAGGUGUCCCAUUAUAAGGCAUGGGUUCAGUCACGCGCAGGGACUUGGGAGCGAGCUGAGUUCACAUUCAUUCCUAAAGAGAACGGAUAGGUCCGGUUGGAAUUUUAUUGAAGAUAUGUGUUAAAAACAACCUAAAGAUUGAUUCUAUACAUCGUUUGACGUUUCUACAAACUGUAGUAGAACUUUUUUGACUUUUCAUCUGGACUAAGUAAGCACGCGCCUUGUGGAUUUGGAUAGUGAACCUAACGUGUGAACAAAAUGUAUGUAUUUGGACAUAAAGAUAAACUUUAUCAAACAUUUAUUGUGGAGCUGAGAUUCCUGGGAGUGCAUUCUGAUGAAGAUAAUCAAAGCUCAUGAAACAUGGGACCAACACUUUACAUAUUGCAUACCUCAGACUGGUGCGAAGGAUCAUCUUCCAAUAGGACAACGACACUAAGCACACAGCCAAGACAAUGCAGGAGCGGCUUCUGGACAAGUCGCUGAAUGUCUGAGUGGCCCAGCCAGAGCCCGGACUUGAACCCGACCGAACAUCUCUGGAGAGACCUGAAAAUAGCUUUGCAGCGAUUCUCCCCAUCCAAUCUGACAUAGCUUGAGAGGAUCUGCAGAGAAGAAUGGGAGAAACUCCCCAAAUGCAGGCGUGCCAAGCUUGUAGUGUCAUACCCAAGAAGACUCAAUGCUUUAAUCGUUGCCAAAGUUGCUUCAACAAAGGACUGAGGGACCAGAAAAGAAGGGAAGCGAGGCGGAGGAGUGGCUGUGGUGGACAUCUAUCACUGAAUGUGAAUUGGCGAGCUCUGGGCACUGGGGUGCUAAGGCAAGGUACUGCAUGGACAAUUACUGGUGAAAUCAGUUGUUUAUACAGACAUGGUGGUACAACAGGAAGAUUGGAACCAAGAAGUUGUGACUUCAAAUCCCAGCUGAGAACAUGAUAAAUAAUAAUUACUGUAUGAAUAAACAUACACAAUGUAGUCAUGUAUGUCAAAGUAUUUGAAACAUGUACAGUAUGUUGAAAGCACUGUGUGUAUCCCUAGCAUUGCCUUAAGACAAAUAGUUGUGACUGGAUCAGUGGUUUACCAAUCAGGGGCUUGAUGGGCUUGGCAACAGUAACAAGAGGAUAAUGUUUCUUUGUGACCAUCAGGUGAUGUCUCCAGGGGAACAAGACAAACAGGCCCAUCCCUCCCCCCGUGUCAUUGAUGGCCAGCCAGUGUACACGAUGUUGAACUCCGCCUGUCCCUGACCCUGAGUCUGCCUGCUGUCCGGUACCUUUGCCUUUCCCUGGAUUUUCGACUCCUGCCUGCCUCGGCCUGUCUUUGCCUGCCUCAGUUGCUACAAUGAACAUGGGUACUUUGCCAGUCUACAUCUGGGUCUUACCUUGAUUCCUGAUAAUAUCUGCUAUUCAAAGGGUGAAUGGCCAAGACAAAAUAUUGAAAUGCCUUUGAAUGGGGUAUGGUAGUAGGUGCCAGGCGCACCGGUUUGUUUCAAGAACUGCAAUGCAGCUGGGUUUUUCACACUCAACAGUUUCCCGUGUGUAUCAAGAAUUGUCCACCACCCAAAGGACAUCCAGCCAACUUGACAAAACUAUGGGAAGCAUUGGAGUUAACAUGGGCCAGCAUCCCUGUGGAUCUUGUAAAGUCCAUGCCCUGACAAAUUAAGGCUGUUCUGGGGGCAAAUGGAGGGGUGCAACUCAAUAUUAGGAAGUUGUUCUUAAUAUUUGUACACUCAGUACAUGUACUGCUUAUGAAGACUUUAUGGAUUCUCUACAAAUUUGUAGGAUAUCUUUGUUGAUUUAAUUAAAGUGGGACCAUUGAAAUGCAUUGUAUCCCACCAACAAAAUAUAACUUGAAC